rnacentral:ncRNA from 10 species
CUUAUUGAUGGACGAACAUCAAAGUACUUUAUAAGUACACACAACAUCUCAAUUGGUUAUGUAAUUAGUGCAUUAUUGUUAAACCCCAUGAAUAAUGCACA